CUCUGAAAUUUUCUUAUGUUCUGACUGAUUUCUUGGCUAUACAUAGUAUGAGGCCCAAUUUUCCAGGACCCAUUGAUGUUUAAACUCCCCUGUCUGCUACAUCUUGCUUUAUCAUCCUCUCAUUUAUUAACAUUCUCUCUUGGCCAAGCUGGAGGGGAGCAGGGUGUUCUCUUCCAGCUCUAGAGACCUGCUGGAGAUACAGACAUUAGUUCACUUGGCUUCAGGCCCUCUCCUCAAGCCCAAAAUGGUAAAUAAAAUCGCCGUGCGCACCCCAGUUUUCCAAUUUCAUUCUCCCUCUAUGACUCCAACAACUUCAUUCACAUUAAUGAAACUGAGUGUUCCCCUGGCGUUUAACUAUUACAUAAAUGUUAAUUUCUGAGACCAAGCAAUAAAUCCUGUUUCAAAAAGAAAAAAAAAACACUCAAUAGGACAAAAGGAACCUAAACUUCCACAGAAUAAGACAGAGACAGUAUCCUUUUUUUCAGAUUCAAGUUGUACUGACUAGAUAACUUGCUGAACUGUCUCAAGCCUGUGCUUUUGAUGGCAGGAAAAUAUGAACAGUGUUCUCUGAUUGCCUAAGCUUGGAUCGUGAUGAAAAGGCAUUUGUAAUCGCCAAGAACCAAAUAAAUAUACUGAUUUGUCUCACCCUAGGCUCUAGUUGCUUGAGCUCUUCCAUCCUGGGGCUUCACCCUUUUAUGAAAGACAGGUCCUGGCCAGGUAUAGCAUCAUUUCUAUUGUGUAAGGACUGAAAAGAGAGAGGAUCAAGGGUUUGUCCGGUGCCAGUACUUACUGCCCCUUGUGUGCCAUCAAACCCAACCUGUGACGUACUUCAAACACAAAAGAAUCAAGUAAGUUUGGGAAACACACAUAAACGAUCUUCUUGGAGGUUUCCACAAACACAUAAAAGACCCUGGAAAAUCUUGAAAUAAAGUAAGAUACGUAAUUUGUUUGGCUUAAAAUAACAUUGGCUUUAAAAAUAGCCUUCUCCAAACAUGAUUAACUAGGAAAUAACUCUUUGCUCAGCAUUAAUACCUCUCAACAUGCCACAGACUACACAUUAGGAAAUAGCUUCCUGCAUUUGUAUGGCUAAAUUAAGCCUAAUUCUGAGUUUAGGCUUAUCUUUAUCUCUAUUUUCUGGCUCUUGUGUAACUUCAUAAAGUUGUUUUACACUGUUAAUAGGGGUUUUUUUGGGGGGGAGGUGGCAAACUCAAGCUUAUUUUGAAGUUAAUCCUUUGAACUUAGUCAUGCAAACCAGCCUUUGGCUUCACUAAAUUGCUGGAAGAAAGCUGAGGGUUAAGAAUGCUGCCUCUAACUGAUGAGUCAGACCACCUGAAUUAAACUCUCCUCUCCUCUUCUAGCUAUGUGACCCCAGUUUCCCCAUCCUCAGGGAGAGGAAAAUAAAGGAAGAAAUGUCAGGGAUCUUCGAGAAGAAGCAAUGAAAUAAUCCAUACAAGGCACAGACAGUACAGAUGUUUUCAAUCAGGACUGGUUAUUAUUGUAGCUUUUAGGUGAUCCCUUUUUGAGAAAGGAAAAGUAGACACCAUGUGUCUGCAUGCCUUUUCUAGGCACACUAGUUAAUUACUGGAGUGGACUCAGUUUUCCAUAGUGUCUGGUUUCUUGCUACCAAUCUUAGAGAUCCAUUUUUAUUUCAGAGGUCAGGUCCUAUCAAAGUGUAUCAAGGCUGGCUGAUCUUCAUGCCUCCUGGGUUUGGUAACUGCCAGUGUCUCUAUCUGGCUGCAUCUAAGAGCAAACCUCAGGCCAGCAGAAUUCCACUCAUUUGAAUGCCAAGACUGUUAUUUCAGAAAAGGUUUCCGAACACUCUAGUCCCCAAAUGCCAAAUAUUUAGCACAUGCAUUCACAGUGUCCUGCUCCUGUGUUGCUCUCUAUCUAUAACCUGUCCCUCCUGAAUAAAUAGCUCUAAUUCUUUAACCUUGGCUCAAUCGUUUGAGACCUAGGAAAGAGCCAACUGCAUUUCUUAAAAUUCUGAUGGAAAUUCAAAAUAGAGGAGGCUAUUGUUCCAGGAGAAAUGAAUUCAAAUUUGUUUUUGAAAUGAUUUUCAAGAAUUUCAUAGGAAUCUAUAGUGUUGCCAUUUGGUCAAACCCACUUUUUAUUUUUUCUUUUAUGUCUAGGCAAGGAGCAGAAGAGGGAAAACUACUGCUCUGCAGAAAUUUUAUUUCAAAAAUUGAAACCAGACCAUCAGGAGGUAGCUUGUGGUCUGAAUGUAUCAAUGGGCCUAGUCAUUUUUCAUCAGAGCUGCUCUUAGGUAUACUAAACCACAAAUAUGAAUCUCAUUAUUGUGUCUAGAUGGAAAUAUUUUAUGGAUUAAAAUUUGGGGACUUAAUUUGGUUAGCAAUGAAACUUCUGUUCAAGAAGAGGGAGGAGGGGAGCCACAAAAUACCAUUCAUCCAAACACCUGAAAGG
rnacentral:lncRNA from 1 species